UACGAAGGGUGCAAGCGUUAAUCGGAAUUACUGGGCGUAAAGCGUGCGCAGGCGGUUGUGCAAGACAGAUGUGAAAUCCCCGGGCUCAACCUGGGAAUUGCAUUUGUGACUGCACGGCUAGAGUGUGUCAGAGGGGGGUAGGAAUUCCACGGUGUAGCAGUGAAAUGCGUAGAUAUGUGGAGGAACACCGAUGGCGAAGGCAGCCCCCUGGGUCAAGACUGACGCUCAUGCACGAAAGCGUGGGGAGCAAACAGG
rnacentral:rRNA from 1 species